rnacentral:rRNA from 1 species
GACGAACGCUGGCGGCGUGCCUAAUACAUGCAAGUCGAACGCAGUGGGGACGGGUGAGUAACACGUGGGUAACCUACCAUCAGAGGGGAUAACACUUGGAAACAGGUGCUAAACCGAUACUGAUGGAUGGACCCGCGGUGCAUUAGCUAGUUGGUGAGGUAACGGCUCACAAAGGCCAAGAUGCAUAGCCUACCUGAGGGGGUGCUCGGCCACACUGGGACGGAGAAACGGCCCAGACUCCUACGGGAGGCAGCAGUAGGGAAUCUUCGGCAAUGGACGAAAGUCUGACCGAGCAACGCCGCGGGAGUGAAGAAGGUUUGCGGAUCGUAAAACUCUGUUGUUAGAGAAGCGGUAUCUAACCAGAAAGCCACGGCUAACUACGUGCCAGCAGCCGCGGUAAUUC